rnacentral:rRNA from 1 species
GUAGUCCACGCCGUAAACGAUGGGUACUAGCUUUGGCGGGUCUUGACCCCUGCUGAAGCGGAGCUAACGCACUAAGUACCCCGCCUGGGAAGUACGGUCGCAAGACUAAAACUCAAAGGAAUUGACGGGGGCCCGCACAAGCGGUGGAUCAUGUGGUUUAAUUCGAAGCAACGCGAAGAACCUUACCUGGGUUUGACAUCUCCGGACAAACGUAGAGAUACGUCUUUCGUAGCAAUACGACCGGAUGACAGGUGCUGCAUGGCUGUCGUCAGCUCGUGUGGUGACAUGUUGGGUUAAGUCCCGCAACGAGCGCAACCCUUGUCUUUAGUUGCCAGCAUUCAGUUGGGCUCUCUAAAGAGACUGCCGUGGUUAACACGGA